rnacentral:rRNA from 1 species
AUGAGCGUAUCCUAAACCCAUGGGUGAGGACCCAUUGGAGGGCAAGUCUGGUGCCAGCAGCCGCGGUAAUUCCAGCUCCAAUAGCGUAUAUUAAAGUUGCUGCAGUUAAAAAGCUCGUAGUUGGAUCUCGGGAGUGGGCUGGCGGUCCGCCGCGAGGCGAGCCACCGCCUGUCCCAGACCCUGCCUCCCCGGCGCCCCCCGGAUGCCCUUGGCUGGGUGUCCGGUCCUUUCAGGGGUC